UGUUGAUCAGGUCCGGUCCCUGCUUCUUGGUGUGCCUGCCUUCCAGGCAUCCCCACGGGACAGCAGUCUACCCCCAGUCUCACAGACCUCAGGGGAAGGAGUGCCCAGACUCCUGCUUACUAAUGCAUUCCAUCGUCAACCCCUCAGAGCCAGGAAGUCCUCCUGUGUGUCUACACUUAAUCCCCCUCACCAGAUCUGAAGCUUAUUUUCUUUCGCUCUUUCUUUAGGGGGAAAAGACUGAGAUUCUGCUCAGGCAAGACAUCUGACUUGCGCAGCAAGCGGCUCUAUGUUGCAAUCUCCCUGUGAAAUCACUUCGCAAGGAGAUCCAGGAGGAGGAAGUGAGAGGGGCUGAGGAGCGAGGGGUAACAUCCCCGGCUUUGUCCUUUAACGGCUUUUGGAAGGGACGACAUCGCCCAAUGGCAGACAUCCCUAAUGAACUCCCAAGAAUGCAGUCCUCCUCAGAAGAGCAAUCGGAUAGCCUGCCAGGACUAAGCUACCCAGGUUUGGUUCAGGGCUGAAGCUGUUUGCCAGUCAUGGAGAGUAAAUGCUCACAAAUCAUCUGGGAGGUACGGACAAGAGAAGCAAGGUCCGGGGAAGCUGACUUGCCUAAGACUUGGGAGAAAGGUGAACUGGUGUUAUUGAGGACGGACCCCUGGCACCCGGCUUGGUCUUCCUGAGUGAGGCCUUCUGUUGUCACAGGCUUGAACGUUGCUGCAGGUUUGCAAGACUUCACAUCGAGGAGUCCUUGAUCCAUUCAGAAACAAAGAGAAACUGUUUUGUGAGUUAUUAAAAAAAAUUUCCCUUGCAAAGUAAGAAUUCCACAAAGGUAGUUAGCAGACAGUCCUCAGAAUUUGCAGAGAGAUACCACUUGUCCCGAUAAUUCCAGAGCAGGAUG